rnacentral:rRNA from 1 species
UAUGCUGCCAAGAAAAACUUCGUAGUGAGUGUUAGAGCCGCCCGUACCCCAAACCGACACAGGUGAUCAGUAGAGAAUACCAAGGCGAUCGAGUGAACCAUGGUUAAGGAACUCGGCAAAAUGCCCCCGUAACUUCGGGAGAAGGGGGGCCGGAUGCGUUACCUCACUUGCUGGGGGAAGCGUUGAUGGCCGCAGAGACCAGGCCCAAGCGACUGUUUACUAAAAACACAGGUCCGUGCGAAGAAGUAAUUCGAUGUAUACGGACUGACGCCUGCCCGGUGCUGGUACGUUAAGGGGACAGGUUAGCUGGUUUAGGCCGGCGAAGCUUUGAACUUAAGCGCCAGUAAACGGCGGUGGUAACUAUAACCAUCCUAAGGUAGCGAAAUUCCUUGUCGGGUAAGUUCCGACCUGCACGAAUGGCGUAACGACUUGGGCGCUGUCUCAACCAUGGACUCGGCGAAAUUGCAUUACGAGUAAAGAUGCUCGUUACGCGCAGCAGGACGGAAAGACCCCGGGACCUUUACUACAACUUGGUAUUGGUGGUCGGUACAACUUGUGUAGGAUAGGUGGGAGACUGUGAAAUCCGGACGCCAGUUCGGGUGGAGUCAUCGUUGAAAUACCACUCUGGUUGUUCUGGCUGUCUAACUUCGGUCCAUUAUCUGGAUCAGGGACAGUGCCUGGUGGGUAGUUUGACUGGGGCGGUCGCCUCCUAAAAGGUAACGGAGGCGCUCAAAGGUUCCCUCAGCCUGGUUGGCAAUCAGGUGUCGAGUGUAAGUGCACAAGGGAGCUUGACUGUGAGACAGACAUGUCGAGCAGGGACGAAAGUCGGAACUAGUGAUCCGGCGGUGGCAUGUGGGAGCACCGUCGCUCAACGGAUAAAAGGUACCCCGGGGAUAACAGGCUGAUCUUCCCCAAGAGUCCAUAUCGACGGGAUGGUUUGGCACCUCGAUGUCGGCUCGUCGCAUCCUGGGGCUGGAGUAGGUCCCAAGGGUUGGGCUGUUCGCCCAUUAAAGCGGCACGCGAGCUGGGUUUAGAACGUCGUGAGACAGUUCGGUCCCUAUCCGCUGCGCGCGCAGGAGACUUGAGAAGGGCUGCCCCUAGUACGAGAGGACCGGGGUGGACGAACCUCUGGUGUGCCAGUUGUUCCGCCAGGAGCACGGCUGGUUGGCUACGUUCGGGAGUGAUAACCGCUGAAAGCAUCUAAGCGGGAAGCACGCUUCAAGAUGAGGUCUCCCACCGAGUUAAUCGGGUAAGGCCCCCAGUAGACCACUGGGUUGAUAGGCCAGAGGUGGAAGCGCCGUAAGGUGUGGAGCUGACUGGUACUAAUAGGCCGAGGGCUUGCC